UGGGGAAGUCAUUGCGUCAAUGGGCAGGAAAGCCAUGACCGCAGCAACGCCGCGUGCGGGAAGAAGGCUCUCGGGUUGUAAACCGCUUUCAGAAGGAACGAAACUGACGGUACUUUCAGAAGAAGGUGCGGCCGACUACGUGCCAGCAGCCGCGGUGACACGUAGGCACCAAGCGUUGUCCGGAUUUAUUGGGCGUAAAGAGCUCGUAGGCGGUUGAGUAAGUCGGGUGUGAAAACUUUGGGCUUAACCCAAAGCGUGCAUCCGAUACUGCUGUGACUAGAGUUCGGUAGGGGAGCGGGGAAGUUCCUAGUGUAGCGGUGAAAUGCGCAGAUAUUAGGAGGAACA
rnacentral:rRNA from 1 species